AAUGGGGGCAACCCUGAUCCAGCCAUUCCGUGUGAGUGAAGAAGGCCUUCGGGUUGUAAAGCUCUUUCGGCAGGGAAGAAACGGCUAUGGUUAAUACCUGUGGCUAAUGACGGUACCUGAAGAAGAAGCACCGGCUAACUACGUGCCAGCAGCCGCGGUAAUACGUAGGGUGCGAGCGUUAAUCGGAAUUACUGGGCGUAAAGCGUGCGCAGGCGGUUUUGUAAGACAGGUGUGAAAUCCCCGGGCUUAACCUGGGAACUGCGCUUGUGACUGCAAGACUCGAGUACGGCAGAGGGGGGUGGAAUUCCACGUGUAGCAGUGAAAUGCAUAGAGAUGUGGAGGAACACCGAUGGCGAAGGCAGCCCCCUGGGUCGAUACUGACGCUCAUGCACGAAAGCGUGGGGAGCAAA
rnacentral:rRNA from 1 species